CAGCAGCCGCGGGAAUACGUAGGUCCCGAGCGUUGUCCGGAUUUAUUGGGCGUAAAGCGAGCGCAGGCGGUUAGAUAAGUCUGAAGUUAAAGGCUGUGGCUUAACCAUAGUACGCUUUGGAAACUGUUUAACUUGAGUGCAAGAGGGGAGAGUGGAAUUCCAUGUGUAGCGGUGAAAUGCGUAGAUAUAUGGAGGGACACCGGUGGCGAAAGCGGCUCUCUGGCUUGUAACUGACGCUGAGGCUCGAAAGCGUGGGGAGCAAACAGGAUUAGAUACCCCGGUAGUCCCUGUCUCUUAUACA
rnacentral:rRNA from 1 species